UGGGACUCGUAGGCGGCCUUCGACCUGGCGCGGCGAGAGCCGGAGUGUGCAUCUUCGCUUUAGGACUCCUUCCGCUUGGAAGAUUUAGGUUUUCGCGUCCUGGAGAUCUGCUAUGCCGUAUCAAGACCUUGCUCAUUUGGUGAUGAGAUGGGGCUAUUUGCCUUGGAAGACUAAAGGAAGGGUGAAUAUUCACAUGAGGUAAGAACUUGAAGUUGUGGUUAUAAUACAUAGGCCAAGUUUUCCCUGCUGUCAACCCAUCUCUGUAACUCCAACUUUGUGCCUGCAUGAAUUCUGCAACAUGGUGCAGCUGAUGGGUAGAGAAUUCUAACUCCUGUGAUGUAUAUAUUUACAGGAGAAGAUAAUCAUGGAAGAAUUAAAUGGAAGAAUUCAUAGAAGAAUACAGCCAUGGAUAAACUUAAUCAAAAUAAUAUGAUUUUAGUUUGGUUUAGUA